rnacentral:lncRNA from 1 species
UGGAAAUUUCACAGAAUGCAGAAACCUUGUCCGCUCCUUUUUCCAACAUCCCCUCUCCAUUCAUUGCCUCUCCUAUGUAGGCCCUCACUUCCUGACAAAUGCUUCUCUGUGGUCUGGCGAAUGGAAUGAGACUGCAUUUCACCCUCAAGGCUGUGUGAGCUGCACUAGUGGCCACUGUGUCUCUGGUCAAGAUGUUCAUCUCCUCAUCACAGUUGUGCUGUCAGAGAGCCAGCUAUUGGAAGGAGAAAUUUAAAGAUGCUUCCAGGACACUAAUCAAGAAUCUAUCAAUGUGGAUAAUCAUUCCAAAGAUGCAGUUGGCAACCAUUCUUGCUUUUCUAUCCCAUAUGACUCUUCUUUAAAGUCUAUGGUAAGUCCUCUACAAGGGGUCUGCUUAAUUUGCUGGGGCCUUCUUAUAGAUUU